rnacentral:rRNA from 1 species
GACUUGAGUGUUGAAGGGCCGCGGUAUUUUGACCGUGCAAAGGUAGCAUAAUCAUUAGUUCUUUAAUUGUGAUCUGGAAUGAAUGGCUUGACGAGGCACAAGCUGUCUUAAUGUUGAAUGUUUUAUUGAAUUUGGUUUUUGAGUUAAAAUUCUUAGAUGUUUUUGUGGGACGAGAAGACCCUAUAGAGUUUAACAUUUGGUUUAUUUGUUUGUUUGUUGUUUGUUUGUUUUAUUGGUGAGUGGACUUUUUGUUUUGUUGGGGUGAUGGGAGGAAUAUAAUUAACUCCUCUUGAUUUUGGUUAUAUUGAUUUAUAUU